ensembl:lncRNA
AUGGUCAGGGAGCGCUCCGCCCACCACUCAACCCAUGGUCAGGGACCGCUCCGCCCACCACCCAGCCCAUGGUCAGGGACCGCUCCGCCUACCACCCAACCCAUGGUCAGGGACCACUCCGCCCACCACCCAGCCCAUGGUCAGGGACCGCUCCGCCUACCACCCAGCCCAUGGUCAGGGACCGCUCCGCCUACCACCCAACCCAUGGUCAGGGACCACUCCGCACACCACCCAGCCCAUGGUCAGUGGCCUGGCCAUCCCUCCCUUUUGCUUCUCCUGCCAACGGCCAGGACUGAGCAGAGCAGUGCCUGGACUCACUGGCCCAGCACAGCCCUCGGAGGAGCAGAGCCCUCUCCCCGCAGCUCCGGUGGAAAGCUCCAAGGACCGUGGCCAGGCAGGGCACAGCACUGCACCCCCCCCCCCACAACAGUUCAGCCUCCAGGGCAGGGGCGGGGUCUCCCGGGGAAAGAGCAAAGAACCCGGGCCCCUGCCCCUCCUUGUUGCAGACCCUGGAAAACAGCGGGGGCGGAGGCCUGUGGCAGGUCCCAAGGACACCAGGGGCACCGGGGGACAUCCCAGGUGGCUGCUCCCCGAGGAUCUGUGCAGGCGGGGCCGCCACACAAGGCAAUGGUGGCAGCCACGGCCACCAACUACACGUGCCUGUGGAGAGCCACUGGGGAGGGAAGGAGUGGCUACCAGGCUGUGUGGAAACACAUCCCACAACCAUCGCCGCAGCAGAUGCCAGGAGUGCUUGUUUACCCACGCACAGAGGAGCCACGCGGGCGUGGGAUGGCGCCAGGUGGGAGCUGGCACAGGUGCUGCGGGAGGCUGCCAAGCCCAGCAGUGCAGGUUCCAUUCGUCUCGCAGACGAAGCCUGGCUCAGAUGCCUCAGGCCCCGGAGCGGGGCAGGGGUGGCCUGGUCCCAUCACACCUGCACCCGGGGCCCCUCGCCCACGGGUGCCCAUCAGCCCACGUGAAGCACAACUGGCAACGGCAACACACAGGCACGCUGGCUCUGCGCCAUGUGCGGCGUCUGCACAAGCAGAUCCUCAGCCCGGGGUGCCCACGGCAGGCAGACGCCACACACCUGCCGACCACGAUAGUGUGUUCAGAUGGCGUGGGCUGCCUUCAUCUAAGGACCACUGUGUUUCUUUCAGGACGUCAGGGAAGUCUGAGUGUCACAGCAGCAGGCGGGAACAGCAGCCGUGCAACGAUACCAGGUACCGCAGACUCCAAGACCAGGGGCCCCACCACUGCGCGGGUCACACACACAGGACGAGGCCCAUACUGCGCGGGUCACACACAUGGGACGGGGCCCAUACUGUGCGGGUCACACACAGGACUAGGACCAUACUGCGCGGGUCACACACAGGACAGGGACCAUACUGCACGGGUCACACACAGGACGGGGACCAUACUGCACGGGUCACACACAGGACGAGGCCCAUACUGUACGUCACAUGCAUGGGACGGAGACCAUACUGUGCGGGUCACACACAUGGGACGGGGCCCAUACUGCAUGUGUCACAUGCAUGGGACAGGGACCAUACUGCGCGGGUCACACGCAUGGGACGGGGACCAUACUGCGCGGGUCACACACAGGACGAGGACCAUACUGCGCGGGUCACACACAGGACUAGGACCAUACUGCACGUGUCACACACAGGACGGGGACCAUACUGCACGGGUCACACACAGGACGAGGACCAUACUGCGCGGGUCACACACAGGAUGAGGCCCAUACUGCGCGGGUCACACACAGGACGGGGCCCAUACUGCAUGUGUCACACGCAUGGGACAGGGACCAUACUGCGCGGGUCACACGCAUGGGACGGGGACCAUACUGCGCGGGUCACACACAGGACGAGGACCAUACUGCGCGGGUCACACACAGGACGAGGACCAUAUUGCACGUGUCACACACAGGACGAGGACCAUACUGCACAUGUCACACACACGGGACGAGGACCACACUGCACAUGUCACACACAUGGGACGAGGACCACACUGCACGUGUCACACACGGGACGAGGACCACACUGCACAUGUCACACACACGGGACGAGGACCACACUGCACGUGUCACACACGGGACGAGGACCACACUGCACAUGUCACACACACAGGACGAGGACCACACUGCACGUGUCACACACGGGAUGA